GAAUUAUUGUUUGUGUGGAGCAGGAUAUAACACCCUUUGAGAUUUACACGGAUUCAAUUCUUGCAGCGAGGGUGAUGGCGAACGAAGGAGAAGAGAAGCAAUUUCUUCCCGAUGACCUUUGUGAAAUUUUGCAGGUUGCAAGGGAGAAUAGUUUGAUUAGUGUGAAUCAUGUGUAUAGAGAAGCUAAUAUGGCUGCUCAUAGACUCGCUCAAUUGGCUCGUGAAUGUCCGUCUUCUUUUUGUUGGACAUCGGGGUUUCCUGCUUGGCUCAG
rnacentral:lncRNA from 1 species